CCUACGGGUGGCAGCAGUCGAGAAUCAUUCACAAUGGGGGAAACCCUGAUGGUGCGACGCCGCGUGGGGGAAUGCAGGUCUUCGGAUUGUACACCCCUGUCAUGUGGGAGCAAAUUAAAAAGAUAGUACCACAAGAGGAAGAGACGGCUAAUUCUGUGCCAGCAGCCGCGGUAAUACAGAGGUCUCAAGCGUUGUUCGGAAUCACUGGGCGUAAGGCGUGCGUAGGCUGUUUCGUAAGUCGUGUGUGAAAGGCGCGGGCUCAACCCGCGGACGGCACAUGAUACUGGGAGACUUGAGUAAUGGCGAGGGAACCGGAAUUCGCGGUGUAGCAGUGAAAUGCGUAGAUAUCGAGAGGAACACUCGUGGCGAAGGCAGGUUCCUGGACAGUAACUGACGCUGAGGCACGAAGGCCAGGGUAGCGAAAGGGAUUAGAUACCCCAGUAGUC
rnacentral:rRNA from 1 species